AACGAACGCUGGCGGCAUGCCUAACACAUGCAAGUCGAACGAGACCUUCGGGUCUAGUGGCGCAUGGGUGCGUAACGCGUGGGAACCUGCCCUUAGGUUCGGCAUAACUCCCCGAAAGGGGUGCUAAUACCGGAUAAUGUCUUCGGACCAAAGAUUUAUCGACUUUGGAUGGGCCCGCGUUGGAUUAGCUAGUUGGUAGGGUAAAAGCCUACUAAGGCGACGAUUCAUAGCUGGUCAGAGAGGAUGGUCAGCCACACUGGGACUGGGACACGGCCCAGACUCCUACGGGAGGCAGCAGUGGGGGAUAGUGGACAGUGGGCUGAAGGCUGAACCUGCUAUGCCGCGUGAGUGAUGAAGGCCUGGAGGUUGUAAAGCUCUUUUACCCAUGAUCAUAAUGACAGUACCGAGAGAAUAAGCUCCGGCUAACUCCGUG
rnacentral:rRNA from 1 species